AGGGCAGUGCAAGCCAGACCGGCCUGAAGCUCAGCUUCCUUGGAAAAUCCACCUGCAGGCACCUGGGUGGCUCAGUGGUUGAGCAUCUGCCUCUGGCUCAGGGCAUGAUCCUGGGGUCCCGGGAUCGAGUCCCACAUCGGCUCCCUGCAUGGAGCCUGCUUCUCCCUCUGCCUGUGUCUCUGCCUCUCUUUGUGUCUCUCAUGAAUAAAUAAAUUAUAUCUUUAAAAGAAAAUGCACCUCCAAGGAAGAGGAGAAGCGGAGUUUGAGUCCUGAUGCGUCCUGGCAGGUGAAGGUGCGGCAUGCACCUUUAAUAGACAACCAAAGAAAAGCCGAGAGUAGAAAGGGACAGCAGAUGAUGGAAAGAAAGUGAUAACCAAACACCAGUGGCCCGAGGCUACUGUAUGAAAGGAGGGGAAAGUAGAUUGAAGAAUAUGAGAGUUUUUAAAAAGACAAAUGCGCGCGGCCGAGCUUCCCCAGCCAGGCUGCCGCGUUUCCGUGCACGUCUCAGCAGAGCAAAUUUGUCAUAAAUGAUUAACUUCUGGAAGAACAAAUCAUUUGACCUCUGCAGCUGAACAAACACGGAGCGGCAGUGACUAAAAAAGCCAAAGGCGAUGCUUCAGCCGCACUGAACACAUUUUCAUGGAAGUCCUGCCAUUUUAUGGCACAAGAGCCCGAGGAAACUGAGGUUUUGGCUUCUCUUUAGCUAAAGGAAAAGCCUUCUCGGGGCCUGCGUUGCCGCUGCAGAGGGACUUCGGGUCUCAAAGGUUGGUUUUACCUUAAUUUGGGAAGCAUGGCCUGCAGUUCUUCAUACGAGAGUUUGAGUCCAAUUUCCGGGAUUGCAACAAAGAAACUGAAUUGAAGGUAGCAAAAUGCUGCAAGGAACCCAGGGCAAGGAAGGCCACGAUACAACAAUGAAACAUUCAGAAAGAAAAUUGAGAGGUCCCUGGGUGGCCCAGGUGAUUAAGUAUCUGCCUUCAGCUCAGGUCAUGAUCUCCAGGUCCUGGAUCAAGCUCCUCACUGUACUUCCCUUCCUUAGCAGGGAGUCUGCUUCUGUUUCUCUCUCCCUCUGCCUCUCCCUACCACCUAUCUCCCUACCUCUCCUUACCUGUCUCUCUCUCAAAUAAAUAAAUAAAUAAAAUCUUUUAAAAAAGAAAAGAAACUGG
rnacentral:lncRNA from 12 species